UACGUAGGCAGCGAGCGUUGUUCGGAGUUACUGGGCGUAAAGGGUGUGUAGGCGGUUUUCUAAGUUUGGUGUGAAAUCUCCCGGCUUAACCGGGAGGGUGCGCCGAAAACUGGGAGACUAGAGUGCGGGAUGGGAGAGUAGAAUUCCUGGUGUAGCGGUGAAAUGCGUAGAUAUCAGGAGGAACACCGGUGGCGAAGGCGGGUCUCUGGGUAGUAACUGACGCUGAGGAACGAAAGCGUGGGUAGCGAACAGG
rnacentral:rRNA from 1 species